CAACAACGAAGGAAGAGAGACUACUUGUGGGAUGAUCGCUGCCUGUGCCUGGACAGCCUGCUGCCCAACCCUACUUGCCCUUGGGGAUUGAAGAUGAGGUGGUUCAGAAUCAAUGGCACAGACUCCAGGAGCAGACCCUGUUGACUGACUGAACUGGCUUAGUCAGCAUGGCGCCCAACCUGGGGCUCAAGUAAGGGGGAUACAGUGAAGGACACUGCUGAGAGAGGAGCACUCGAAAGGGAAAAUGAAAGGUAAAGGGAAAUAAAAGACUUGGGCCGGUGGUGAAUAAAUUUUGUAAAGAGAGACAAGGUAAUGGUAGAAUGUAUUUUGUGAAUGUGUUUAGAAUUAUGAUAGAAUAUACAGGAUUGAAGAUAAUUCUCAUAGAUGCUUUUAGUCUUUGGAUCCUAAUUAGAGAUAGCUCACAUGAGACAGAGAAUGGGUUUCAGAAAAGCAGUCCUCUCCUCUGUGUGUGUGCUUAGACAAAAGAGAAGGAACAUGAACAUAGGCUGUCUGGAGCUCUCCUAGGGAGAGGAAGAGGUCGGGACAUGUUAAGCUUCCUCCCUGACUCCUACUGGGGGAAUGCUUCGUUCUGGUUCUGGGUCCCUUUGGCACGCUAGUUCCUUUCCCUUUCUGUCUAUUGUCUGUCCUUGGUGUACCAAUCUGUCCAUGUCUGUCACAUUAUGUCUAUGUUUUCAUUUUGUUGCUUGAUUGUUGCUCUGUGUUUCACGUUCAAAAGAAAAAAAAAUGGUUAAAGCUUUAUCUGCUGGUUGUUCGCUCCUUGAUUUAGUUUUAACUGUUUCAAGAAAAAAAAAAAAAGUGGUCUCAACUGACACAACAAAAACUGAUAGAUUUUGGAGCCCUGCACCUGUAGCUAGGAAUAUAGCACAGCUGGAGAGGCCUUGCCAGGAGCUGAUUGCCUGUACAAGCUGCUCUUAAAGGGUCCAGCAGCUUCUCAGCUUCCAUGGUAAGGAAGCUGAUGGUUGUUUCUCCUAGAAAAUCUCUGUGACUGUGAUUGUUGGGUUCAGCAGGUGACAAGUUGUUUCUCCCUUGAAACUACAGCUAGAAAAAAUAAGAAAAAAUUUUCCACUCUAUAUAAGUAAAUGUGUGGCCACCUCAUGUUUGUUUAAAUGUACACAUAUGUUCUGCAUGUUUGGUUAUAGAUUAUUGACUUAUAAGUUAUUGGGUAUGAUUAAAAAUUUGUAACAUGGGUAAAAAAAGUUGGCUUGAAACUGGUAACUCAGGGUUGGAGUAAUUCUAGACAACAACACACGGUAUGAGCCAACCCAGGGAAAGAGGUCUUUAAAGAUACCUCUAAAUUGGGAUAAAUUUUGUCCUAGAAAUCAGAUUUAUUAAAGAUAGGACUUAAAAUAAUGAGGCAUUAAAAGCUGUACCAUCACACAUUCAUAUAUAAGAACUGG